rnacentral:lncRNA from 1 species
CACCUGUUCAAUCAUUCAAAUGCUUUGAACUGAAACAAAUUAAAACCCCACAUCUGCAGCAUUUACAAAAUAUGGAUCAUGCAAAUAUUUGCAGACGCGUAAUUCAUAAAAAAAAUAUAAAUCAUACAGAUAUGUGCACCUUUUUUAGCAAUGUCCAUGGAGGGAAAAAGAAAAGUCAGACACGAGCACAUUUAGAAGCUCGAAUCAUCAAGUCUUGUCGACUCCAACUUCCAACCAGCACAACGGUUACUUCAAAUGCACUGCCAAAGCAAAGAGUCGUUAAGAUUUCACAGGCUUGGCCCUAGGCUCCAGCAUCAUAGCCUAUACCUAUGGGCAUACUACAAUAGAAUUAAGUUGGUUUGUUAUAAUUUUUCUGUUGGUUGAUAUUCUCUCACAUGCGCAUAGGUCCCGCAUGAAUAAAAAAGUCCAAAAAAAUUUGUUCCCUCCUCUCCCCCACUCAUUGUGAGUAUCGGUCAGGUUACAUGUCAACCAUUUUCUGCCAACAUAGCAUGGUUGUACUUCAAUAUCAGCAUCCUGUGCAGAAAUAAAAAUUAGUCAAUUCAAAGGUUUCACUACAUGGAUUG